UCCCUGAUAGCUCAGUCAGUAAAGUAUCUGCCUGUAAUGCAGGAGACCCGGGUUUGAUUCCUGGGUCAGAGAG
rnacentral:tRNA from 1 species